rnacentral:rRNA from 1 species
AAGGAAUAUUGGUCAAUGGAGGCAACUCUGAACCAGCCAUGCCGCGUGCAGGAUUAAGGCGCUCUGCGUUGUAAACUGCUUUUGCCUGGGGAUAAACCUCUUCAUUUAUGGGGAGCUGAAGGUACCAGGUGAAUAAGCACCGGCUAACUCCGUGCCAGCAGCCGCGGUAAUACGGAGGGUGCAAGCGUUAUCCGGAUUUACUGGGUAUAAAGGGUGCGUAGGCGGUCGCAUAAGUCAGUGGUUAAAGGCGGUAGCUUAACUAUUAGUAUGCCAUUGAUACUGUGCGACUUGAAUACAGUCGAGGUGGGCGGAAUGUAACGUGUAGCGGUGAAAUGCUUAGAUAUGUUACAGAACACCGAUUGCGAAGGCAGCUUGCCAGACUGUUAGUGACGCUGAGGCACGAAAGCGUGGGGAUCAAAC